CUAAAUUGAUCAAUUGAAGGUCGAAUUGAGGUGUUUAUUGGUGCAUGUAUCAAGAAUCUUGAUCACCCACACUUGUCUAACAUUAGGCAACGCGAUUGAGGCAUCGGGAAGUCAAGCCGGUGCGGACACUCGUUUGAAGGGAAAGCUUUAAGUUUUUAGGUAAUGCAAGCACAUGGAUGAUGGUCAAGUCAAUGCUUCCGAACCGAACACAUUCAAGAUCUCAUUCCGCAACUUU